AUUGAACGCUGGCGGCGUGCUUAACACAUGCAAGUCGUGCGGUAACAGGCGUAGCAAUACGUGCUGACGAGCGGCGAACGGGUGCGUAAUACAUGGGAAUCUGCCCUUUAGUGGGGAAUAACCCGGCGAAAGCCGGGCUAAUGCCGCAUAAGAUCUUCGGAUGAAAGCGGGGGAUCGUAAGACCUCGCGCUGAUGGAUGAGCCCAUGUCGGAUUAGCUAGNGGUGAGGUAACGGCUCACCAAGGCGACGAUCCGUAGCUGGUCUGAGAGGACGGCCAGCCACACUGGGACUGAGACACGGCCCAGACUCCUACGGGAGGCAGCAGUGGGGAAUAUUGGACAAUGGGCGAAAGCCUGAUCCAGCGACGCCGCGUGUGUGAAGAAGGCCUGC
rnacentral:rRNA from 1 species